AGUGAACGCUGGCGGUAUGCCUAACACAUGCAAGUCGAACGGCAGCACAGUAAGAGCUUGCUCUUACGGUUGGCGAGUGGCGGACGGGUGAGGAAUACAUCGGAAUCUACUUUUUCGUGGGUGAUAACGUAAGGAAACUUACGCUAAUACCGCAUACGACCUACGGGUGAAAGCAGGAGAUCUUGGGACCUUUCCCGUUUGUAUUAGCCGAUGUCGGAUUAGCUAGUUGGCGGGGUAAAGGCCCACCAAGGCGACGAUGCGUAGCUGGUCUGAGAGGAUGAUCAGCCACACUGGAACUGAGACACGGUCCAGACUCCUACGGGAGGCAGCAGUGGGGAAUAUUGGACAAUGGGCGCAAGCCUGAUCCAGCCAUGCCGCGUGGGUGAAGAAGGUCUUCGGGUUGUAAAGCCCUUUUGUUGGGAAAGAAAAGCAGCAGGUUAAUACCCCGCUGUUCUGACGGUACCCAAAGAAUAAGCACCGGCUAACUUCGUG
rnacentral:rRNA from 1 species